rnacentral:rRNA from 1 species
GUGGGGAAUCUUCCGCAAUGGACGAAAGUCUGACGGAGCAACGCCGCGUGAGUGAUGAAGGUCUUCGGAUUGUAAAGCUCUGUUAAUCGGGACGAAAGAGCCUAGUGUGAAUAAUGCUAGGAAGUGACGGUACCGGAAUAGAAAGCCACGGCUAACUACGUGCCAGCAGCCGCGGUAAUACGUAGGUGGCAAGCGUUGUCCGGAAUUAUUGGGCGUAAAGCGCGCGCAGGCGGAUCUGCCAGUCUGUCUUAAAAGUUCGGGGCUUAACCCCGUGAUGGGAUGGAAACUACAGAUCUAGAGUAUCGGAGAGGAAAGUGGAAGUCCUAGUGUAGCGGUGAAAUGCGUAGAUAUUAGGAAGAACACCAGUGGCGAAGGCGACUUUCUGGACGAAAACUGACGCUGAGGCGCGAAAGCCAGGGGAGCGAACGGGAUUAGAAACCCCAGUAGUCC